rnacentral:rRNA from 1 species
GACGAACGUUGGCGGCGUGCCUAAUACAUGCAAGUCAACUGAAGCACGGUAGCAAUACUGUGCGGAGGUGGCGCACGGGUGAGUAACACGUAGGUAAUCUGCCUUCAGGUCUGGCAUAACCCCGGGAAACCGGGGCUAAUAUCAGAUGAUGCAGCGGCUUGACAUCAAGACAGUUGUUAAAGCUAACCGAGCAAUCGGUGGCGCCUGAAGAUGAGCCNGCGUCUGAUUAGCUAGUUGGCGGAGUAACAGCCCACCAAGGCUUCGAUCAGUAGCUGGUCUGAGAGGAUGAUCAGCCACACUGGAACUGAGACACGGUCCAGACUCCUACGGGAGCAGCAGUAAGAAUAUUGCUCAAUGGCCGAAAGGCUGAAGCAGCAACGCCGCGUGAGGGAUGAA